UACGGAGGGUGCAAGCGUUACUCGGAAUCACUGGGCGUAAAGGACGCGUAGGCGGCUUCAUAAGUCAGAUGUGAAAGCCCACGGCUCAACCGUGGAACUGCAUUUGAAACUGUGUGGCUAGAGUCUGGGAGAGGCAGAUGGAAUUGGUGGUGUAGGGGUAAAAUCCGUAGAGAUCACCAGGAAUACCGAUGGCGAAGGCGAUCUGCUGGAACAGUACUGACGCUGAGGCGUGAAAGCGUGGGGAGCAAACAGGAUUAGAUACCCUGGUAGUCCACGCCCUAAACGAUGAAUGCUAGUUGUUGGGGUGCUUGUCACUUCAGUAAUGCAGCUAACGCAAUAAGCAUUCCGCCUGGGGAGUACGGUCGCAAGAUUAAAACUCAAAGGAAUAGACGGGGACCCGCACAAGCGGUGGAGCAUGUGGUUUAAUUCGAAGAUACGCGAAGAACCUUACCUGGGCUUGACAUCCCGAGAACCGGCCAGAGAUGGCUGGGUGCUACUUUUAGUAGAGCUCGGUGACAGGUGCUGCACGGCUGUCGUCAGCUCGUGUCGUGAGAUGUUGGGUUAAGUCCCGCAACGAGCGCAACCCUCGUCCUUAGUUGCCAGCACAUCAAGGUGGGCACUCUAAGGAGACUGCCCGGGUAACCGGGAGGAAGGUGAGGACGACGUCAAGUCAUCAUGGCCCUUAUGUCCAGGGCGACACACGUGCUACAAUGGCGUGUACAAUGAGAGGCGAUACCGCGAGGUGGAGCAAAUCUAUAAAACACGUCCCAGUUCGGAUUGCAGUCUGCAACUCGACUGCAUGAAGUUGGAAUCGCUAGUAAUCGUGAAUCAGCCAUGUCACGGUGAAUACGUUCCCGGGUC
rnacentral:rRNA from 1 species